rnacentral:rRNA from 1 species
GACGAACGCCGGCGGCGUGCCUUAGGCAUGCAAGUGGAACGAGCUAACUUCGGUUAGUGAGUCGCGAACGGCUGAGUAACACGUAGGAAUCUACCCCUUGGCGGGGAAUACCUACUCGAAAGAGUAGUUAAUACCGCAUAAGAUCUAAGGAUGAAAGGACGUAACUGUCCACCGAGGGAGGAGCCUGCGGUCCAUCAGUUUGUUGGUAGGGUAAUGGCCUACCAAGACUACGACGGAUAGGGGACGUGAGAGCGUGACCCCCCAGAGAGGCACUGAGAUACGGGCCUCACACCUACGGGUGGCAGCAACCGGGAAUUGUGCGCAAUGGACGAAAGUCUGACGCCGCGACGCCGCGUGAAGGAUGAAGGCCUUAGGGUCGUAAACUUCUUUUGGCAAAACCGAGAGGUUUUGCAGAAUUAAGCACCCGCUAACUACGUGCCAGCAGCUGCGGUGAUACGUAGGGUGCAAGCGUUAUCCGGAUUUAUUGGGCGUAAAGAGUUCGUAGGUUUUCUCAUAAGUUGUCUUUCAAAUACUGGGGCUCAACUUCAGGAAGGAGGAUAAUACUGUGAGAAUUGAAGAACGUAGGGGUUACUGGAAUUUGUCAUGUAGGGGUGAAAUCCGUUGAUAUGACAAAGAACACCGAGGGCGAAGGCAGGUAACUGGGCGUAUCUUGACACUGAGGAACGAAAGCUAGGGGAGCGAAAGGGAUUAGAGACCCCGUGUAGUCCUAGCCGUAAACGAUGCUCGCUAGGGAUGGGGGAUUUAUCUUCCGUCUCGUAAGCUAACGCGUUAAGCGAGCCGCCUGGGGAGUACGGUCGCAAGACUAAAACUCAAAGGA